AGCGAACGCUGGCGGCAGGCCUAACACAUGCAAGUCGAACGAACCUUUCGGGGUUAGUGGCGGACGGGUGAGUAACACGUGGGAACGUGCCUUUAGGUUCGGAAUAACUCAGGGAAACUUGUGCUAAUACCGAAUGUGCCCUUCGGGGGAAAGAUUUAUCGCCUUUAGAGCGGCCCGCGUCUGAUUAGCUAGUUGGUUGAGGUAAUGGCUCACCAAGGCGACGAUCAGUAGCUGGUCUGAGAGGAUGAUCAGCCACAUUGGGACUGAGACACGGCCCAAACUCCUACGGGAGGCAGCAGUGGGGAAUUUUGCGCAAUGGGCGAAAGCCUGACGCAGCCAUGCCGCGUGAAUGAUGAAGGUCUUAGGAUUGUAAAAUUCUUUCACCGGGGACGAUAAUGACGGUACCCGGAGAAGAAGCCCCGGCUAACUUCGUG
rnacentral:rRNA from 1 species